rnacentral:lncRNA from 1 species
GGGGGGGCGGGGCCGCCGCAGCAGACGGGUGGCCGCGGCGCUGCUACGGAAGCGGACGGGCUUGACAAUGGUGAAUUCUGAGGAAGCAGCUGGUGUGUUGAGCCACUUCUGAGGACUGAAAAUGCCAGUAGUUGAAAGUGAGGCAAAGGCAAAAACCAGAGCCUGCUUUGAGGAGAUCUUCAGACAUCAUGCUGGCCUAGCAGACACAAAGAAAUCAAAGAAAAAGAAGUUUCACUCUGAAGAGAAUAUUGUGCUUGACACAUUUAGAAGUAAUAUUGAUCUAGCUAAGGAAAGUGUGAAUGAUGAAGCAAUUCUAAACAACACAUACAAUCCUGAAGAAGAGAGUCCACGAUUUACAAAAAAUAAACUGAGAGAGAAAGCUUCAAUUGCAAAGAAAUUAAACAAUGAUAUUGUUAGUGGAGAGGAGAACAAGCAACCAAAGUCUAACAAGAAGAAAAAGAAAUCACUGUUACAAGAACAAUUUAAUGAGGAGGAAAAUUUACAUGAAGCUAAAGUGGAGAGUUUUGAGAAAAAGAUUAAUGAUUUUCCAAAGAAGAAAACAAAAAGUAAAUCGCAAACAGAUGUACCUCAUCAAGGAGGUGAUGGAAAGAUUAGAAAUUUCUGGACUGAAGCGAGAAAUGUAACUGAAUUAGAAGAGGAAGAGGAGCUAAUUCGAGCCUAUCAGCUGCAUGUGGCUGAAGAUGAGGCAAAUGAAAUUAAAAAGAAAAUAAAAAUGAAACUUAAAGAACAGAUGUCUGAAUUUACCUCUACUGUUCAAAGCCAUGAAGUUGUAUUGAACAAUGAAGUAGGCAAAAAGAAGAAAAAGAAAGAAAAAGCAGUUUUAAGUGAAGCUGAAACAAGUGCAAUGUCCCUUUCUGAGCUACAGCAUCAUCCAGCACAAGAUGGCAAUGAAAAUCAUUCAUUGGAAAGACUAUUUACAUCAGAAGGGCAGAAACAGGAGGAAAGCAUGGAAAAACAGAAACCUAAAGCAAAGAAGAUUAAAAAGAAAAUCAGAAAAGGUCUGACAACACAAUGUUAGAAUGGUGUUCUGCUUUGCUGCUUUAUCCAAGUCUUUCUUUCCCUU